UACGGAGGAUGCGAGCGCUAUCCGGAUUUAUUGGGUUUAAAGGGUGCGUAGGCGGGAUGCCAAGUCAGCGGUAAAAAUGCGGUGCUCAACGCCGUCGAGCCGUUGAAACUGGCGUUCUUGAGUGGGCGAGAAGUAUGCGGAAUGCGUGGUGUAGCGGUGAAAUGCAUAGAUAUCACGCAGAACUCCGAUUGCGAAGGCAGCAUACCGGCGCCCUACUGACGCUGAGGCACGAAAGCGUGGGUAUCGAACAGG
rnacentral:rRNA from 1 species